CGGGAUAUAGCGCAGUUUGGUAGCGCGCUGCUUUGGGAGCAGGAUGUCGCAGGUUCAAAUCCUGCUAUCCCGA
rnacentral:tRNA from 1 species